AUUCCCAGUCACCCACUCACUCAGAAAGCCGGGAGUCAUCGGACACCUUGCUGGUCAGAGGUCCUGGGGGUGGUUUUGAACCAUCAGAGCUUGGACUUUUCUGACUUCCCCAGCAAGGAUCUUCCCACUUCCUGCUCCCUGUGUUCCCACCCUCCAGUGUUGGCACAGGCCCACCCCUGGCUCCACCAGAGCCAGAAGCAGAGCAGGCAGAGCUCAGAGGAUCUUGGCAUCACCCACCAAAGUUAGCUGAAAGCAGGGCACUCCUGGAUAAAGCAGCUUCACUCAACUCUGGGGAAUGCUACCAUUUUUUUUCCAAAGUAGAAAGGAAGCACUUCUGAGCCAGUGACCACUGAAAGAAUUCAUCUCCUCCUGCUAGCAGCCGCGUCCUGGAGGAGCAGCGGAUGGGGAAUCCAUUCUGUUUCUUCCUGGUGUUUAGGAAGUUGCCCCACACACAGAUUGCCCCGAUGUCCAACCAGAAGAAGUGAAACUGCUGCUGGGUCUGGAGAGGUGAAGACCCGUGGCCAGCUUCUGUUGUUGCCAUCGGCCAUUGCUUUUUGUUCGCUUGCUUUUGGUUUUGCAAGAAGAGCGGCCUCUGUCUCUGAUCUGCUUCAAAUCAUCAUUCCAUCAGUGACAGAAGUGGCUGUUCCAUCAGUGGUCGCAGCCAGUUCAGCUCCUGCAUCCAUCCCCAAGUGUUCUGAGUGGAAUUUGAGGCCUCCCCAACCACCUACCAAAAAAGGAGGGUGAAAUGAAAGGAAGAAGAAAAACUCAGCAUUCUUUCCUCUGACAAAGAGUAAAACGACAAGGAAUAUCGGCCUGAAUUCUCUUCCCAAGAAGAAAGAAAGCACACCAACGCAGGCAUUUGUCUUCUGUCCAUGGUGCUGAAGUUUAUUCACUUUCAAACCACUUUCAGUAACAGGUCUGCGUUGGACACGGCAUUGUACAUGGGAUUAGCUCUGG
rnacentral:antisense_RNA from 1 species